GACGAACGCUGGCGGCGUGCCUAAUACAUGCAAGUCGAACGCAGUGGGGACGGGUGAGUAACACGUGGGUAACCUGCCCAUCAGUGGGGAUAACACUUGGAAACAGGUGCUAAACCGAUAGUGAUGGCUGGACCGGCGGUGCAUUAGCUAGUUGGUCAGGGAACGGCUCACCAAGGCAACGAUGCCUAGCCGGCCUGAGAGGGUGAUCGGCCACACUGGGACUGAGACACGGCCCAGACUCCUACGGGAGGCAGCAGUAGGGAAUCUUCGGCAAUGGACGAAAGUCUGACCGAGCAACGCCGCGUGAGUGAAGAAGGUCUUCGGAUCGUAAAACUCUGUUGUGAGAGAAGCGGUAUCUAACCAGAAAGCCACGGCUAACUCCGUGCCAGCAGCCGCGGUAAUAC
rnacentral:rRNA from 1 species